rnacentral:rRNA from 1 species
UACGUAGGGUGCAAGCGUUAAUCGGAAUUACUGGGCGUAAAGCGUGCGCAGGCGGAUGUUUAAGUUAGAAGUGAAAUCCCCGGGCUCAACCUGGGAAUGGCUUUUAAGACUGGGCAUCUAGAGUUUGUCAGAGGGGGGUGGAAUUCCAAGUGUAGCAGUGAAAUGCGUAGAGAUUUGGAGGAACACCGAUGGCGAAGGCAGCCCCUGGGAUAAAACUGACGCUCAUGCACGAAAGCGUGGGUAGCAAACAGG